AGAGUUUGAUCCUGGCUCAGGACGAACGCUGGCGGCGUGCCUAACACAUGCAAGUCGAGCGGAGACAGUGAGUAGCUUGCUAUGAGCUGUUUUAGCGGCGGACGGGUGAGUAACGCGUGAGCAACCUUUCCCAGACAGGGGAAUAACACACCGAAAGGUGUACUAAUACCGCAUAAGACCACGGAAUCACAUGGUUCUGGGGUAAAAGAAUUAUCGGUUUGGGGUGGGCUCGCGUCCGAUUAGGUAGUUGGUGAGGUAACGGCCCACCAAGCCGACGAUCGGUAGCCGACCUGAGAGGGUGAUCGGCCACAUUGGGACUGAGACACGGCCCAAACUCCUACGGGAGGCAGCAGUGGGGAAUAUUGGGCAAUGGAGGAAACUCUGACCCAGCAACGCCGCGUGGAGGAAGAAGGUUUUCGGAUCGUAAACUCCUGUCCUUGGAGACGAGUAGAAGACGGUAUCCAAGGAGGAAGCCCCGGCUAACUACGUGCCAGCAGCCGCGGUAAUACGUAGGGGGCAAGCGUUGUCCGGAAUAAUUGGGCGUAAAGGGCGCGUAGGCGGCUCGGUAAGUCUGGAGUGAAAGUCCUGCUUUUAAGGUGGGAAUUGCUUUGGAUACUGUCGGGCUUGAGUGCAGGAGAGGUUAGUGGAAUUCCCAGUGUAGCGGUGAAAUGCGUAGAGAUUGGGAGGAACACCAGUGGCGAAGGCGACUAACUGGACUGUAACUGACGCUGAGGCGCGAAAGUGUGGGGAGCAAACAGGAUUAGAUACCCUGGUAGUCCACACUGUAAACGAUGAAUGCUAGGUGUAGGGGGUAUCGACCCCUUCUGUGCCGCAGUCAACACAAUAAGCAUUCCGCCUGGGGAGUACGGCCGCAAGGUUGAAACUCAAAGGAAUUGACGGGGGC
rnacentral:rRNA from 1 species